AUGAAACACUGGCUGAGAAACAUCCUGAUUCUGACUCUCUGUCUAGAGUGUAAAGGAGAAGACAGAGUGAUCCAGCCAACAGGAGAUGUCAUCGCUACUGAAGGACACACAGUUACACUUGGCUGUACAUUUGAGACCAUUUAUUCAAGUCCCACUCUGUUCUGGUACAAAGAAGAAGUGAAUAAUUCCCCACAGUACAUACUGAGGAGUUACUCACAAAAAGUAGAUAAUUCUCCAGACUUCCAGAAAGACCAAUUUAACGUAGAAAAAAAUGGGACAUCAGUUCCUCUGAAGAUCCAGAAGCUUCAGCUGUCUGACUCUGCUGUGUACUACUGUGCUCUGCAGCCCACAGUGACAGGAAACACCAAAACUCUGUACAAAAACAUUAUGAGCAAAGACAACACAAUACUCCACAACAUCCACUAGAGGGAGUCACACACUGUUAGACUUCGAUAGUUUGUGAUGAUACAGU